GAUGAAGAGCGCAGCGAAAUGCGAUACUUGGUGUGAAUUGCAGAAUCCCGUGAACCAUCGAGUCUUUGAACGCAAGUUGCGCCCGAAGCCAUCAGGUUGAGGGCACGUCUGCCUGGGCGUCACAUAUCGUUGCCCAAUGCCUAUUGCAGUGCAAUAGGAAUUUCUAGGGCGAAUGAUGGCUUCCCGUGAGCGUUGUUGCCUCGCGGUUGGUUGAAAAUCGAGUCCUUGGUAGGGUGUGCCAUGGUAGAUGGUGGUCGAGUUAGAACGAUACCGAUCAUGUGCAUGCUCCCCAAAAUAUGGCCUCUAUGACCCACACGCGUCUUUUGACGCUCAUGACGAGACCUCAGGUCAGGCGGGGCUACCCGCUGAAUUUAAGCAUAUCAAUAAGCGGAGGA
rnacentral:misc_RNA from 1 species